rnacentral:rRNA from 1 species
CACCACCUUAGAGUUUGAUCCUGGCUCAGAACGAACGCUGGCGGCAGGCCUAACACAUGCAAGUCGAGCGAGACCUUCGGGUCUAGCGGCGGACGGGUGAGUAACGCGUGGGAACGUGCCCUUUUCUGCGGAAUAGCCUCGGGAAACUGAGCGUAAUACCGCAUACGCCCUUUGGGGGAAAGAUUUAUCGGAAAAGGAUCGGCCCGCGUUGGAUUAGGUAGUUGGUGGGGUAACGGCCUACCAAGCCGACGAUCCAUAGCUGGUUUGAGAGGAUGAUCAGCCACACUGGGACUGAGACACGGCCCAGACUCCUACGGGAGGCAGCAGUGGGGAAUCUUAGACAAUGGGGGCAACCCUGAUCUAGCCAUGCCGCGUGAGUGAUGAAGGCCUUAGGGUUGUAAAGCUCUUUCAGCUGGGAAGAUAA